CGCCACUGUCUCACCUGGUGUUUGCAUCUAGCCCUCCAACUUUGCCAUUGGCAGCGGCGGCACGACGUGUGGGAGAGCCCUGAGGCUUGCCCGCCCGGACCAGCCUGCCCCAGCGCUGAGAGGAAAGGGUUAACUUUGCUGAGGAUGCAGAGAGAGGAGGAGAGAAGGAAGGUUAAAUCAGUGAGAACUUGAAUAAGUCACUCCACCACCCCCUGGGAACUCAGGUUACUCUUGUGGUUGGCAUAGCCCAGCAUGCAGUCUUGAGCCUGGCAUAGGCCACACCCACUCCGACUCUGGAUAACCUUCACAGAAGCUCGGAGAAGGCACUAAAUUGAUCUUAAGGUAUCUGAAUAACAUCUGUUCAUCAGGAAACCACCAGAGCUCCAGGGACCCGGGGGAGUCUCACUGUCAGUUCUGGCAGAAACCAGUAUGGCUAUUGCCUUGCAGCCCAGUGAUCUGGUCUUUGAGUUUGCAAGCAACGAGAUGGAUGAUAUCCACCAGCUCGAAGACCCUUCAGUGUUUCCAGCUGUCAUCGUGGAGCAGGUCCCUUAUCCUGAAUUACUGCAUCUCUACUCAGGAAUGGAUUUGGAUGAAGUCCACAAUGGCAUCAUAAGGGACAGGACUUUGUGCAUGGCACAGGAUCAGAUCCUAGAAGGCAGUAUUUUGCUGACAGAUGACAAUGAGUCUACCUCUAAUAACAUGUCAUCCACGGAAGUCCUAUUCAAUGUGGAAACUCCCAACGAUGUCCUGGAUGAGAAGCAGAUCUUCAGCACUCCGGAAAUGCUUCCAGACUCAGACUCUGUUCAGACCAUCAGUCUCCCCAACUUCCUGUUUUCUGCCACUGAACCUGAUGACCAGAACAAGACAAAUGAUACUGGUAACCAGAAGGAGCAUUCUCUGGAGGAGAGGGUCUCCAGAGAGGAAAAUCCUAAGAAGCUUGAGAAGCCAAGAAAGAGAAACCGAAAGACAAAGCACAGCCGAAGUACCUCACCUGUCACUGACCCCAGUGUCCCCAUACGGAAGAAAUCCAAGGAUGGCAAAGGUAGCAACAUUUAUCUGUGGGAGUUCCUGCUGGCCCUUCUGCAAGACAGAAACACCUGCCCCAAGUACAUCAAGUGGACCCAGAGAGAAAAAGGCAUCUUCAAGUUGGUGGACUCCAAGGCUGUGUCCAAGCUGUGGGGCAAGCAGAAAAACAAGCCUGACAUGAACUAUGAGACCAUGGGGCGGGCCCUAAGAUAUUACUACCAGAGAGGAAUCCUGGCUAAAGUGGAAGGGCAGAGAUUGGUAUACCAGUUUAAGGAGAUGCCUAAGGACUUGGUGGUGAUUGAGGAUGAGGAGGAGAGUACUGAAACACCGGAAGCACUUCCGCAGGCCUCCACACCCUCUACCAGUACCAUCCGGAAAGCCAGCUCCAGGGUCGUAACCAAAACUUCCCUCCAGGACAAGGGUACCCCUUCCCUGGAGAAAGCAACGGUUCAACACACAGGUCUCCAGCCAUCUGCAAGUCUCGAGUUAGGACUGUCUGUGGAUGAGGAGGUCCCCACUACCUCCACCAUGCUUGUCACUCCGCUACAGAGCCAGGCCAAGCUCACCAAAACUGUGAGUACUUCUUCAGUGCCCAGUAACAUCCACCUAGGAGUAACCCCGGUGGGGCCGGGCUCCACUGUCACUCUGCAGACCAUCCCUCUGACUACGGUGCUGACCAAUGGGCCUCCUGCCAGUACUACUGCUCCCACUCAACUCGUUCUCCAGAGUGUUCCACAGGUGUCAACAUUCAAGGACACGAUCACUUUGCAGGCUUCCUUCCCCCUCAAAACCAGUUUCCAGGAGAACCAGGUGUCAACCCAAGGGACCCCAUUGAUCCUCAGUGGCCUCUCCCAACUUCUGGCUGGGGCUAACCCUUCGAGCAACCCAGUACCAUCUCAGGUCUUAGGUGCUGGGUCAGCAGGGCCUAGCUCUCAACCCCCUGGGACUGUCAUUGCUGCCUUCAUCAGGACUGCUGGUGGUACAUCAGUGUCUGGGGUAAAGGAGGGGCCCUUUAGGUCUUCGUCAUAUGUGCAGGGUGUGGUUACAGGCCCCCCUGUGGAGGGGCUGUUCUUUCCUGAAGAGACCCUGAGAGAGCUCCUGAGAGAUCAGGCUCAUCUUCAGCCACUUCAGAGUCAGGUGCUUUCAAGGGGUUCCCAUAACCUGAGCCUUGUGGGGAACCAGACUUUAUCUUCCCCCAGCCAUCCCACUGUUGGGCUAACCCCAGUGGCUGAACUUGAGCUCUCAUCAGGCUCAGGGUCCCCAUUUGUAUCUGAGCCUAGUGUGACCACAUCUGGGAGCUUGCCGACCAGCUCCCCAACCCCAGCAGCCCCUUUCUCUCCAUUCAAUCCCACUUCCCUCAAUAAGAUGGAGCCCCAUGACAUAUAAACAAAGGGAACAAAAGUAUGGCUCACUAGGCAAAAUUGUGAAUUAUUUUCAUGUGGACUUAAGUAGUAUACCUGUCCUUACAUUUAGUGGGGUGUGAUACAUUUGAGUCUAAGUCCCCCAGGCCUGUUUGGGAUCACCAUGAUAAAAUUAUGCCCAGCUCAAGCAUUUCUGGCAUUAGACCAUAGCCUCCGAGAGCACGAGGGAGUAGAUAUGCUCUUGGAAGGAUAAUUGGCUAACUUGGUGAUGGAGGGAAACCCACAGUCUGGAAGCAGCUUAUGGCCAGAGUUGGUCAGAGGCUUCACGAGAAGAGUUAAGUCUGGUCAUACUUUGUUAUCCAUAUUCUUUACACAGGGAACUUCCCAUCCCAUAUGUGAAUACCUUCAGAUGUAUUUGUGUGCAUUUGUGGGUCUGUAGCUUCAUUUAUUUUGGGAGGACAGGAUGUGGAUGUCAGGUCUUUUAAGUUGUGUGUGUGUGUGUGUGUAUGUGUGUGUGUGUGUCCCAGCCCAUUCCUAGGUCAGCCACAGACAUGAGGCAGUUUUAAGAGAAAGCACUCUCUCUCUCUCUCUAUCUCUAUCUCUUGCCAGCCACAGUGCCAUUCUGAGACUAGAAGCUACCAGUUGGAUGCCACGCCCCACACCCAAGUCUGGAGAGAUGUCACAAAGCUGGAACAGGUCUAGCGUGUUAAACUAGGUAACCAGUUAACUGACCCUGCUGACAAGAGUUAUGGAAGAG